CAGUCGCCGCGGUAAUACAGAGGGUGCGAGCGUUAAUCGGAUUUACUGGGCGUAAAGCGUGCGUAGGCGGCUAAUUGAGUCGGAUGUGAAAUCCCCGAGCUUAACUUGGGAAUUGCAUUCGAUACUGGUUAGCUAGAGUGUGGGAGAGGAUGGUAGAAUUCCAGGUGUAGCGGUGAAAUGCGUAGAGAUCUGGAGGAAUACCGAUGGCGAAGGCAGCCAUCUGGCCUAACACUGACGCUGUGGUACGAAAGCAUGGGGAGCAAACAGGAUUAGAUACCCCUGUAGUCCCUGUCUCUUAUAC
rnacentral:rRNA from 1 species